rnacentral:rRNA from 1 species
GACGAACGCUGGCGGCGUGCUUAACACAUGCAAGUCGAACGGUAAGGCCCUUCGGGGUACACGAGUGGCGAACGGGUGAGUAACACGUGGGUGAUCUGCCCUGCACUUCGGGAUAAGCCUGGGAAACUGGGUCUAAUACCGGAUAGGACUCCGGACUGCAUGGUCUGGGGUGGAAAGCUUUUGCGGUGUGGGAUGGGCCCGCGGCCUAUCAGCUUGUUGGUGGGGUGAUGGCCUACCAAGGCGACGACGGGUAGCCGGCCUGGGAGGGUGACCGGCCACACUGGGGAUGAGAUUCGGCCCAGAACCCUACGGGGGGCAAGAGGGGGGAAUAAUGGACCAUGGGGGGAAGCCUGGUGCAGCGACGCCGCGGGGGGGAUGGCGGCCUUCGGGUUUUAAACCUCUUUCCGCAUCGAAGGAACCAAAAGGACGGUAGGUGCAGAAGAAGGACCGGCCAACUACGUGCCAGCAGCCGCCGUAA